UGCCAGCAGCCGCGGUAAUACGUAGGGUGCGAGCGUUAAUCGGAAUUACUGGGCGUAAAGCGUGCGCAGGCGGUUUUGAAAGUCAGAUGUGAAAUCCCCGAGCUCAACUUGGGAACUGUGUUUGAAACUCCAAAGCUAGAGUAUAGGAGAGGGGGGUAGAAUUCCACGUGUAGCAGUGAAAUGCGUAGAGAUGUGGAGGAAUACCAAUGGCGAAGGCAGCCCCCUGGCCUAAUACUGACGCUCAUGCACGAAAGCGUGGGGAGCAAACAGGAUUAGAUACCCUGGUAGUCCACGCCCUAAACGAUGUCUACUAGUUGUUGGUGGAGUAAAAUCCAUUAGUAACGCAGCUAACGCGUGAAGUAGACCGCCUGGGGAGUACGGCCGCAAGAUUAAAACUUAAAGGAAUUGACGG
rnacentral:rRNA from 1 species